UAGAACAGAAUAUGAUAGAAAAAUAAAAUGUAUUUAAAUAUGAAACUACAACCUCGAUUAGGAUGUGGCAAAGUCACUGAAUCUUUUAUAAUUAUAUACUUUAUCAUUAUUAAUUAUAUAUCUUUUAUAACUUUUUGAAGUCAUAGGCCUAUAGUGAAAUGUCAUACACUGUAAAUCAGUGGCAUUUGCUAAAUUAAAUUAGUUAAUUUAACAAAAAAAGUUAUUUCAACUCAAUAUAUAUGUGAUGUGAACUCAAAAUCUAAUUAGGUUAAGGGGAACUCAAUCUAAAUAAGUAUAAAUUAAUUUAAUCUACCAUAUGGUUAUUAUGUCUAAAUGGCUGACCACAAAAUAUUUUAAAGAAAAAUUUGCUUAAUUCAUGAUUUCUAACAUUGUUUUUCUAGAAAUCACGUUUGCUUUAUCUCUUUCAAUAUUAAUUAAAUAGCCUUCAUAACUAAAGAUAAUACAAUAAAUACAUAAAUCUGUUUCAUAUUAAGCAUAGAUCAAUCCUUUUAAAGAAAUUAAUUUUACUCGAGACAAAAUAUUAUCCGGGUGUUUUUCAAAAACCGCGCGCAUUUUUCAGUCAGUCACAUCCGCCCCUCCCCCACAGCUCACAGUCACUGGAUCACAGCCGGACGGCUCGCGACGCCGUCACGGAAAAUAACAGCUGGACACAGACAAACGAGUCCCGCGAAUUGUAUUUUUAAACUGGAGAGACAGCUGACAGGAUGUCGUCAUCUGUAACCGUCACUCGCCACAGUUCUCAAGAGAGGGACAAUAAUGGCAUCAGCCAUUCAAGUUAUGAUCCUGGCAGAUCUACUACUAUCUGAAAAGUAGUCUCUGCAGAUUGUUUCAAGAUACACAAGAUGGAGCGUGGAGAGACGGGACAUGGACCACAGUUUUUCAGCACCCACACCCCACACUCAAAUUCAUAUAGAAGUUCUCAAUUAUUAAAUGUUAAUUUCAUAGUUUAUAUUUAGCUGUGAAGUUAUAGUUCAUUGUCAUAAAUAUUAAACUACAUAUUAUUAUUAUUAUUAUUUUACAUGAUAUGCAAAUUUCACCAAUUUGUUUAAUGUGUUAAUUAACUUUUUGAAAUUGAUUAUCUUUAAUAAUUCAGAUACCUGUUGAAAUGCACAUGUAAUUAUAUACUUGCUCGUAUCUGGAAGGUUGUGUUAAUAAAAAUGAUGUUGAAAGCGAA